rnacentral:rRNA from 1 species
UAGGGAAUCUUCGGCAAUGGACGAAAGUCUGACCGAGCAACGCCGCGUGAGUGAAGAAGGUUUUCGGAUCGUAAAACUCUGUUGUUAGAGAAGAACAAGGACGUUAGUAACUGAACGUCCCCUGACGGUAUCUAACCAGAAAGCCACGGCUAACUACGUGCCAGCAGCCGCGGUAAUACGUAGGUGGCAAGCGUUGUCCGGAUUUAUUGGGCGUAAAGCGAGCGCAGGCGGUUUCUUAAGUCUGAUGUGAAAGCCCCCGGCUCAACCGGGGAGGGUCAGUGGAAACUGGGAGACUUGAGUGCAGAAGAGGAGAGUGGAAUUCCAUGUGUAGCGGUGAAAUGCGUAGAUAUAUGGAGGAACACCAGUGGCGAAGGCGACUCUCUGGUCUGUAACUGACGCUGAGGCUCGAAAGCGUGGGGAGCAAACAGG